AUACACAGCCAUAUCACCCUACAGCCCACUGGAGCUAAGCAGGCUUGAGCUGGUCAGUAUCUGGAUGGGAGACCCCUGGGAAAACUAGGCUGCUGCUGUAUA
rnacentral:rRNA from 1 species